UUAAGAUUUAUUAGUUAGUAGUAAGGUUAUAUGGCCUUGUUACCAUUUUAACUGAUUAGUUUAUUACGAUAUUUACAUGAUAAGAAGAUAUUAUUAGUUAUAAUAUUAGUUAUGUUUUAUACCUUAGUAUUUUUACCUUAAACAUUCAUUCCAUAGCUCUGUAACAUUAAGUAAGUUUACUCUCAGUCUAACUUCCACUAAUUGUCACACUGCAUGCUUUUGACUUACAGCACUCUUUGCCCCAGCGCCCCGGCCCAGUCUAUUGUCUUGUUGAUAGGCCAAGCUGGCCACAGCUACAACAAUGUUUGGUGUUGAAUUUUAGAAAAUCAGUUGCUAUUUGUCACCUCAAGGAAAUACUCUGCGAGAUUUAUUGCUGCUUUCAUUUCAAUGUGAGGAUUUGGAUUGUAGAAGGAUUUAUUCAUAUUUAAGAUUUCUCAGUAGCAACGUUCACCGUUCGAUCAUUGUCACGGUAUUACCAGUUCAGGUAUCACCUAUCUGACUGAAAUUAAGUACGUACAUUCGUACUGAUUAUAAAAUAAACGUCAUCAGCCUCACCCC